GCAUUUUACUAUUCUUUGUGAUUUUUCAAAGUUGGAGAAAAUAUUUGAAAUAAUAAAAGAAAUAUGGAAAAUGAAAAUCAGCAUAGUGCAUCAGCCAGGAAUUGAACCCACGCUAGCAAGGUCCACAAGAGCGCUCAAAAUGAAAUAUCAGAAAGCGCAUGGCCAGGAUUCGAACACGCGCUCACAAGGAAAGAUGGAAUUCCAAAAUAAAUCAGCAAUCACACACACAUAGGGAUCGAACGCACGCCAUAAAGGAACAGAAGCGCUUGGCAAAACGCAGCGCAUCACUUAUGAAGUGGCAAGCCACGCAGCAGUCUUCGCACACGCAAGCGAAGUCAAACAAACUACAACCAAC
rnacentral:lncRNA from 1 species